AUGGAAAAUACCUUCAUUUACCAUAAAUACAGUAAUCUUCCGACACGCAUGUUCAACGCUAAUGCAAUUUCAUUGUACGGGACAAAAUAUGGUACAACGCACACACACAUACAUAACAACAAUAACGAAGAGAAGAGAGAGAGAGAAACGACAUCUAUUAACUUCCGUCUGGGCAAUAGACUAUUGCUAAAAAUGUAAUCGUUUUCGAAAUUGAUGAAUUAUAUAAAACCGGUUUCCACUGAGUAAAUGCUACAAUUUUUUUUUGUUUCUGUUCAAUUUAGCCGUUCGUUCGUUCGUUUGUUCAGUUAGAUAUUUGACCGAGCCCAAUUGAAGAGACGGAGACAAUUGAGGAGACGGAAACGGCAACGCUUUUUCAAGUUAAUGCAAAUAUAAUUCGAAUUUAAGUAUUUCGCUUUUAAAUUGUUGGUAAAUGAGUUAUGGAAAUAAUGUGCAAUGAAACACGCAUUUAGAUGGUCCCUUUGCACAGGGCCACAAACGCACAACUACACACAGACAAUGGCAUACAUAUGACGCCGACUAUCUAUACAUAUCUGAUAACACGGUGGAGAGAAUGCAUAAAAGUACGGUUCAAGAAGCAGGCGAAAACACAAUUGGUCGUCAUGAGUAUCUACUUUUAUGGAUUGUUCGUCGCGUAUCUGGUUGCGACGCUAACCAACGGGGAUGAGAUUCAAGUCGAAGUGGAAGCCAAUGACAACGCUAAACAAAGUUUAGAUGAGUUAAGCAAAGAGGUGAACCAGAUGAAAGCUGAACUUACGAAAAAUAAUAAUGACGAAAUACCGAACGAUACCGUAAGUGAUGGCGAUAGCAAUGGCAAUGGCAAUGGCAAUAGUCCACACGCUGCUUUGGGUGAAAUUGACAAAAUCAAAAAAAUUGUAGAAAUCCUGGAAACUAUCGUUGUGCCCACUAUCGUUAAUCGUCAAAAUGCUCAGGAACAAUUUCAAAAAAAGAACGAUGCUGACCCAUCGGCUGUUUCUUCAUCAGGCCCAAUAACAAUUCUACCAAAGGGCUUUAAAUUACUACAACAUCAUACGAUCACAUCCGAUGAAGGUAGCCCAGCAGCAGCAGCAGCCACAGCGACAUACCAAAAACCUAAUCCACAAUCCGAUGGCAAUUGAUAUCACUUCAAAUGUGCACCAUUUAAAAUGAUUUACCCUCACACGCCUCAAUGAGCUUCAAUAAAUCAAAACAAAUUUCAUGUAAUAAUGCAUAGAAAACAGUGUCUCGUUCUCUCUCUCUGCUUUAACACUUCCCCUAUUUUUAUCGCUCUGUUCAAAAUGCCAGCGGAGUGCUGAUGACAUCUGUUGGUUCAGUUUGCAAUCUCGCUCGGUCGAAGCUAACGGAAUGUCGGUAAACUUUCUGUAUUUGACGACCUCUAUUGCGUAUUUGAUUGAGAUAUUUUACUUCUGCUAAUGUUUUUGCUUUGAUUUUGCCUUAUUGCCCCGAUAUUGCCUCAUAAAAAUCUUCUUUAAUUUUUGAACAAAUGCUCGAUGAUUCAAUGUUCAAUUACUUCAAGUGAAGUAAUCCAAAGAAAAUUUCAACCAAUUUUCAAUUCAACUGUAUCAGCAGUUUUAACAUUGUCGGACUAAUAAGACUUUGACAGGUUGUCGUACAUAACCUCAGAAAGAGCAUAUCAUGCGUGUGACACAAUGCAAGUAUGUGAGUGCGCCUUCAAGACCAAUUGUCAGACGAAUAUUCAAAGUGCUAUCAAUAUCGCCUGUGUCGUUUGUUUAUUCGUUUGUUAUCAUCAAAAUCAUUACAAUAAUUCCAACACAUUUUGCAUGAAAACGCCCAAUCAGUCUACGGAAGAAGCGGUUUUCGCAACGGAUUUUCGGGCAGAUUCCCGAAAAUAAUGGUACACGCAGAAGUGAUACGGAAAUUUUGCACAUUGUAACGUCUAGAUCAAAUCCACAAGUGGUCGUGCCCAAAUCUAAACCCAAAAAUCAAACGAUAUUAAUUACAGUCGAUUGUUUUUGCGCGUCAAUUUUGAG